CAUAGUUUAUAGUUAUAUUCUUAUAGGUGGGACUUGGUCAGUGAAAAGUUUUAAGAACUUUUUAAAUUCAUGUCUUAGCGUGAGGAUAAUAAAGUAGCAUAAUAAUUUGGUAUUUAAUUGGUACCUGGAAUGAAUAGUGAAACGAUUGUGAACUUGUCUUUUAGUUAAAAAUAAAAAUUUAAUAAGUAGUUAAGAUUCUAUUUACGUAAGGUUAGACGAUAAGACCCCAUAAACCUUUACUUAAAUUUGUUAUUUAUUGUUUAAAAUGAAUAGAUUUAUUAGUUUAACUGGGGCAGUUAUUUUUUAUUUUAAAGAAAAUUAUUUUUUGUUUAUACUAUAAAAUUAACAGCAUUAAUUAAUUUUUGACCUUAUAGGUUUAAUUUUCCUAUAAAUUAAAAGAUAAAAGGUACUUUGGGGAUAACAGCGUAAUUUAAAAAUAGAGAUGAUAUCAAGUUUUAAGUUUGCGACCUCGAUGUUGAAUUUAGAUAUCCUUUAGUUGCAAACGACUAAAAAGGUUAGAUUGUUCAUCUAUUAAAAUCUUACAUGAUU
rnacentral:rRNA from 1 species